GGAAGUAAAAGUCGCAACAAGGUUUCCGUAGGUGAACCUGCGGAAGGAUCAUUAUUGUAUAACCGAGGUGCGAAGGCUGUCGCUGACCCGAAAGGUCGUGCACGCCCGAGUGCCCUCACACACAUCCAUCUCACCCCUAUGUGCACCACCGCGUGGGUCCCCCUUUGGCUUGUUCGGAGGGGGGCUUACGUUUUCACACAAACUUUGUAUGCAGUGUAGAAUGUAUUUUUUGUUUUUGCGAUCACGCAAUCAAUACAACUUUCAACAACGGAUCUCUAGGCUCUC
rnacentral:misc_RNA from 1 species